UACGGGGGGAGCAAGCGUUGUUCGGAUUUACUGGGCGUAAAGGGCGCGUAGGCGGCGCAACAAGUCACUUGUGAAAUCUCUGAGCUUAACUCAGAACGGCCAAGUGAUACUGCAGUGCUAGAGUGCAGAAAGGGCAAUCGGAAUUCUUGGUGUAGCGGUGAAAUGCGUAGAUAUCAAGAGGAACACCUGAGGCGAAGGCGGGUUGCUAGGCUGACACUGACGCUGAGUGCGCGAAAGCCAGGGGAGCAAACGGG
rnacentral:rRNA from 1 species